UGUAGCUCUGAGUCUCUACAUUUAUGCAACGUAAAAAACAGAAGUUAAAAUGUUGCUACAUAAGACAGAAUCCAGGUUGUGAGUCACAAAUGUCUUAUAAACAUCAGGCCAUAGCGAACAUUACCUAUAUACCUAUGUAUUUGUUUAUUAAUUAAAAUCAGUCAGCCUAAAUUGACAAAUUUGCCAUGAUGCUUGAUUAGCAUACUUGCUUGACAAAUAUCCCAAUAACAUAAUGUAUUCUUGUAGGCUGACUCUAUUAGCCAAGUUUACAUUAGGUUUGCUAUGUAUUUCUAAUUGUUAUUGUGGUAGUGUGAUACAUUCAUCCUGUUUGUUUCAGAUGUCUAAAAAGCCCCAUAAGCCCAUAAGGGAGUGCGUACAUUUGCCACCACAGGGGUUUGGCCUGCCGAUGCGGGCAACAGGCCAGCUCCGAGGUGGUAUAACCUUUCAUAGAUAGAGAAUUGUCAAAUGCAGGUCCGUGGACAACUCCUCCGGGGGCUUCAGAGAUGAUGUGUUUGUGGAUUUCACCCCCAGAAGUUAGAAGUUAAAAUUAAUAAAGUUAACAGGCUAAAACGACAUGUAUUCUCUUUUCUGAUUUACUGAAAUUAGAUAUCGUGCUGUAAUGUUGUCUCUGUAUUUCCCCCCUAUAUUUUAAGCAGGUCUCUACCAGUGGACCUACUGGACCAGUACCUACAGCUCCACCAGUGCCUGUGUCUGCUGUUCAGGCUCCUUCAUUGACGACUGCAUUAAAUUUGUCAAUGGUACGUGUAGUCGGCUGUCAUUGUUCAGGAAUCUGUAGAGAAAAUUGCUGCCCUACAUCUCAAGCACUAAGCCGGAGGUGUAGCGAUCGUUGUUGGAAGGAUGGUCGGACCAAGAUGCAGCGUGGGGUAGGUUAAUAAUUUUUUAUUUAUGAUAACUGGCACAAAACAAGAAAGAGUAACAAAUGGUAGUGCACCUUACCUUAGGUCAUUUCGGAACUGCCUCCUAUCGAUUUUUGUUUGAUCACAAAGCAAACCCUCCUAGUGUAUCUGUUUGGAAUACCCAAGCUCUUAUCAUUGAACAAUUCUAAGCAUUUUUAGAAUACCAAAUCAAAGAUAUCUUAAAACAUUCCCCCCAAAUACGAGAAUAAAGACUACCAACCUUUUCUUUAGACUGGGAAAAGCAAUGUAUUUUGGAUCUCGUCACCACCUCUGUCGUGUACCAGUUCGCCCCUGGCCUGAAAUUUACCCUCAACUCAGAGGUCAGGUCUUUGUCUUACGGAUCCUAGAUCCGUCUGUGCACGGUGUUUCAGCAGUUUCCUGGGACGACAGAGGUAGGUUUUGAAAUCCGGCUCGAAGGACCAAUUGUUGAAGGAAUUUGUUUCCUAUAUGUUCAUUAACCAAUUUAAUUAUACAAAGCAAUCACUCUGUCCGUUUCUAUGAAUACGUAAGAUCCUUAUUUGCAUAAAAUAGACAUAGACCCGUGUCCAAAUUAAUCAAUAGUGUUUAUUCUCGAGAGUACUCUGACGUGCAUAUACAAAACCCGUUAUUUUUAUCCCUUCUUUUACUAACGCACAUACAUACACACUAAUCUGGAUUAUCUCCUGAAGCCUUUUACCAGUUUAUUACCCCUUAGCUGACAGUUCCA